rnacentral:rRNA from 1 species
GACGAACGCUGGCGGCGUGCUUAACACAUGCAAGUCGAACGGAAAGGCCCUGCUUUUGUGGGGUGCUCGAGUGGCGAACGGGUGAGUAACACGUGAGUAACCUGCCCUUGACUUUGGGAUAACUUCAGGAAACUGGGGCUAAUACCGGAUAGGAGCUCCUGCUGCAUGGUGGGGGUUGGAAAGUUUCGGCGGUUGGGGAUGGACUCGCGGCUUAUCAGCUUGUUGGUGGGGUAGUGGCUUACCAAGGCUUUGACGGGUAGCCGGCCUGAGAGGGGGACCGGCCACAUUGGGACUGAGAUACGGCCCAGACUCCUACGGGAGGCAGCAGUGGGGAAUAUUGCACAAUGGGCGGAAGCCUGAUGCAGUAACGCCGCGUGCGGGAUGACGGCCUUCGGGUUGUAAACCGCUUUCGCCUGUGACGAAGCGUGAGUGACGGUAAUGGGUAAAGAAGCACCGGCUAACUACGUG